CUUGUACUCCGUCCGUCCGGAAAUACUUGUCAUUGAAAUGGAUGCAUCUAGAUGUAUUUUAGUUCUAGACACAUCCAUUUUGAUGACAAGUAAUUCCGGACAGAGGGAGUACUUG
rnacentral:pre_miRNA from 1 species